CAGGGAUAGAAUGUUCUUAGGAUUCCUAUCAGGAGAUCUUCAGGGCAGCCUUUGACCUUGGCAACCAGACAACGGCAAAUGCUGAAAUGACCGAGCCUGUAGUAGGCUUGUGGCAAAACACGAAAUAAGAUCUACCAACCUCCAACCCUCUCCCACCUUCCCAGACAUAAUCAGUGGCACCAAGAAGAGGGACGAAAAUCUUUGAAACCAGGAGCCACGAUAAAAUUUGAUUCAGCAAGAAAAACAACGCAUGUUCCCAGAAAUGUAGCAUAUGCUGAGUUUUUUUUAUAAUGCCAACGUGUGAUUGCUACAGGUUUCCACAGAACACUGGGGAAGUCAACCAAGGCAAAGUGAGUUUCCUCCUUAGACCUCCUGUCUUACUGGAAUUGCUUUGGUAUGGAAAGAGGCAACAGGCAUGCUAUGCGGCCAGGUCUUUGAGGAAACCUUCUUGAUUAAGCAAACAUUUGAGAAGGAGAGGUAAAGAAAGGCCUGGGAAGGGAAUGUAGGGACGAUGCAUUAGUGUUCCUGCUUGAACUGAAACAUCGUGGGACUCAGAACCAGGAACCACACAGCUCUGAGGUGGACGAUGUCCCAGUAGAAAGGGUAAAAGUAGGAGCGCUCAGGUGUUUCCUCACCAGCCGGGGAUGAUUUGGAGCUUGGAGAGAGUCUGCCUCAGCCUCGGGAAUGCUGAGAUUAUUAACACGUGCCAUAUGCCCAGCCAAGACCUAUUUCUCAGGACUACUGUAGGAAUUGAUUCUAAACAGCAAGGAAAGAGGAAGAUGGUUGGCCUUGAAAAGGAGACCCUUGGAACUGUGUUUCGAUACUCUUAAGAGUGUGUGUUCGUGAGAUGCAAGAAUUCACGCAAAGCAGCCUCCAAACACUGACUGGAUCUCACUAAAAAAAUAAAAUUUCUGCAUCCUCUUUUCUCCUAAAA